rnacentral:lncRNA from 1 species
GCAAUGUUAUGACUGAAUUCAAUUUGUGGUAAAUAUAGAUCAUGUAACAUUUUCCAAAUAUUUUUAUGUAUUUAUGCAUCUUUAUAUAAUUUUAAAAUUUUGUAUAUUUUUUAACUAGUAUUAUUUAAGGUAAAUAUCUGGUAUACCCUAAGAAAAAGCAGCCCAUAUAACAUUAAAGAAAUUAAUGUUAUAAAUUAAAAUCAGAGGUGGGAUUAAUGAGUAAUAUCCCAGUACAUGACAGUACUAUACGCAGCUCCCUCCAUACUCAGUUCAAGGACUGCUUGAGCUCAUUAGGCUUUGUGUUAAAAGAAAGCAUGAAAAUGAAGAAAAAUGAACAUCUCCCUACAACACAAAAGAACUUGUAAGAAUUUGUAUUUUUUUUUUCAUUUUUUGGUGUUACAUCCUAAGAUUUCAUCAUUCAUGAUCCUCAAGUUAUACAGAGGAUUUUUUCUUUUUUUGGUGUUGGCUAGUAAGGAUAGCCAAAUAUAGAUCUACAGAAAGAAAAUAUGGAUUGUAGCUUAAGGUGGAUGUAGUUUAACAGGGAAACAUUCAAUAAAGUAGGGUUGCUGUAUUUUAAAUUGUUAAAAGGAAUAAGUUAUCUUAUUUUAGUUCAUACUAAAUGAGGUAGUUAAGAAAUUCCUGAUUAAAAAUAGGUUGUGUCAUUCAGGCAGUUAAUACUUUUGUAUCAUAAUAUGUGUUAUUUUACAGUAAUAAUUGAAGAUUUCUGCAAGUGAAUUAAUGUAAACUGUACAUGCUUGGAAAUUGUCACGAUACCAUCUAGAAUGAGCAUUUUUAAGCAAACAGAAAACAUGUUCAGGAAGAAUGUUAAAAUUCUAAUACUUGUAAAUAGAAGAUGACAUUUCACUGCCUUUGUGCUUCAUGAGUGCUUUUGAAAUAACCAUCAAAACAAGAAGAAAAUAUUGAAAAGGCAAUUUGUGCCAAUACUUUUGUCAACCUCCUGGGAGUACUGGACUGCCUAUCCAAGUCUAUAUGCCUUUAUGGUUUUUCAAUUUGUGAAGAAUGUAAGAAACUUCAGAGUCUUAUCAGCAAAGUGUAGUACAUUAUCUAACAGAAAAGAGAAGAUAAAGUUUUUGGUGCUCAUGAUGACGUACUAGCCCUAACCUGAGUACAGCUGAUGGAAGUGUAAGAAAAUAUACAUUCCUGAAAACUCGAAGUGGUUAUCAAAUCUUGGUUCUACAGCUGACAUAAUGAUCUGAAAGGUUGCAGAGAGUAAACACUCUUGUGAAUCAUCAUAAUAGAGCUCAGAUAUUUGAAUAGAGACUGGAAUUUUGAUUUGAAGACAAUUUAUAAAUAUUUUCUGAUUGUUAAUUUGGAAUUAACUCAAGAAGUAGAGACACUACUACAUGGAUAAUGAUUGAAUUGACAUUGGCAUCGUCUCAAUGUUUUCAUAAGUAUGAAGUAUAUUUCAUGAUACUUUUAAAGUUAAUUAUAGAGAUUGUUUUCAAUGAUUUUCUAUUUAUUAAAGGGUUUAAGUAAUGCGUAGCAUAUUCUGAUUUGAGUGGUGACAUUAUAGAAAUAUACCAUUUACAGUUAGAACUGUAUGGUGCUUUACUUUUAUAGUGCAUUCCAAACUUGGGGUUUUCUGGUACAUACAGUUUUAGCUUAUUUUUAAAUAAUUCCAUCUUUUUAUCGGUCAAGAUAAUAGCUUCAAAGUUACAUGUCAAAUUUCUUUUACUUUGAAAUGCAUUGGCUAUGUAUACAAGGUCGACAUUUGAUUAAAUGCCUUAGCAUUUACCAGGACUAUCAUUUAUAUAUUUAUGUAUGUAUUUAUGUAUGUAUUUAUGUAUUCACUAUUAAAGUAUUAAAUCAUUACAUUACUCAUUUCAUUGUCUUGUUUGAGUUUCCAUGCUGAGUAUCUACAUUUGUGCAUUUGUAAUCGAGUCUGCAUGUCAUGUAUGUCACAUGAAACAUUAUGUGUUUUAUUAAUAGGUUGUACAUAAAUUAUGCAUUAAAUAUGUGUUCUCUUAUGCCAUAGUUUUGUGUUUUUCUUUUGCAAGCAUCUUUUUGUUCAUAUCAUACUUACCUGUCUUAUCACCCUCGAUUUUAUCAGAUCUUUUUCCGUCUCUUUUUGAUCUUCAUUAUUAACGUGCUGGAGUAUUUAAUAAUGUUUUUAAACAUGUUGUCAAAUUUGAGCAUAUUAGAAAACACAAUUUGCUUUAUGUCUAUAUUCUGUCUCUUCCAUUGUUAUUACUGAUGAUUUAUACUGUCUUACCUGUUCUAUUUAGUUCAGACUUGUUUCUCUUAUUUUUCAGAAUAUUCACUGUAGUCAAUUUUUUCCUCAGAAUUGAUGCUUACAAAUACUUGUCAACUUGGAGAUACACUUUUAGUUUUAUUUGCAUCACACUUAAUAGAUUAGAGAAUAGAUUGCUUUAAAUUUAUUCUUCAUAUACAACCUCAAGGUAUGUCAUUCUGUUUGUAACUAAAUGUUUUCUUACCUAUACAUUCCAUAUAUUUAACUACUAUAAUGUCUGGUAAAAUGAAGUCAAUAUGUGGAUAUAUGAAAGUCACUUUCAUAUAUAUAUAAUAGUCUACAUUAGAUAUACAUAAUGUUAAUGUUUUACUGUCAUUUGAUUACAAAUAAGUAACUUUGGAAUUAUUUUUGGAAUGCACGAGCAAGAAGCACUGUAGGUAAUAUCCCAUGCUAAUUCUGCAAAGUUCAUGUUGGUUCAGAUGUUUUGGGAAUUAAGUUAUCCUACUUAAAAUAUAGCCUGUACCACAUUACGAUCUAGUUCAGAUUGGACUUUUGAACAUUCACGAAUUCAUUUCCUCAGUGCCUCACUCAAAUAAAAGUUAAGAUUUCUGAGCAUUGAGUAAUAUUGAAUUUUAUUCUUUGGGCUAGAGAGAUAUGUAAGCAAUUUAGAUUACAGACAGAGUUCCAUUCCUGGCCCCGACUAUGUAGGCCCCACAUGCCUAAAACUGCAGGUGCAGUUACAAGUUACAGCAGCACCUCUCCUGGAAUCUAAACUCAUGUUCAUAUACACUGACAUAGGCACAUAGUAGCAAUAAUUACUUGUAACCCCUUUUUAAAAAAUAAGUCACAUUUCCUAAACAGAUUCAUUUUUAUAUAUUUGUAUUUAACAUUAUUCUGUGGUUUCUUUUCCCCUGAGACCAUUUAAGUGGCAUAGGUUAUUUAACAAGAUUAUAUUUUUUUAAACUCUGGGGUUUAGUAGUAUAUUCAUACAAUCUAUUUUUUUCAUUAGGUAGGGCUGUUAGUAUUUUGAUGCCAGACUACAUGAAGGAUUUCCCAAAAUUAAGCCAUAAACAUAAAAGAUUAAAGUAAUUGUGUAAAGAAUUUUUUGUUUUGAAGUUCAUCAUACGUUGAAAUGUUUACCUAAGUUCAGAAACUAAUUUGGAUAUAUCAGUAUUAACUAAUAUAUAAGCCUUAUUCAUAUUUGUGAGCCUUAUUGAGUUUUUAUUUAUAUAUAAUGGUUUUAUUAUAUUUGACACACAUCAAAUUAGUGAAACAAUUUUGUCAUUCUUAACAUUUUUCAAAAAGUGCCCAUAGAAUUUAAUUUUUAUGUGUAUGAAACUGGCACCUAUAAUUUGGGAAUAUAUGCAUAUUCCUCAAUUGAAAAAUAUGUGCUUUUAUCAGGCUCUAACAUGAAAGCCUUCAUUACUUCUGUUUUUGUUUCUGUGGUAUUUUGAUUUCAUUUAGUGCUCCCACUUACAGGAUUUUUUUAACAUGAGUAAGGCUACAUCACUGUAUCACUUUAUUCCGAGCAACUAUUUGAAUUGUCUAUAGAUUCCAAAGAAGUGUAUAGUUAUGUGAAACAUACCCCAUAAAAGUCCAAUUCCCAUUUCAUAUCCCAAUGACAGCAUUUCUCAGCUCUUGGCCAUACUUGUGCUCUUGAAUUUUGAAACCUCCCUCUCUUUUAAGGUCUCUGAGCCUUCAGUGCAUCAAAAAGCUGCUCAAACACUUUUGAGCACCUCCUUAUGGCUUGGUAUUGCCUGCUUCACUAGUGAUAAAGUUUUUCUCUUACAUUAAAUAAAAUUAAGCAAUUGUUUAACUUAAUUUGUACCAUUCGGCUCAUUGUACCUGGAAGUCCGGUUUGUUGCUUGCUGUAUUCAUAGCAAUGUGAUCAUGAAUGAAUUUUUACCACGAAGCGCAUUCCAUCCUGAAGAAAGCUAGCCAGUAUGGAUGAAAAUUCAUCUCAGUUUAUAUAUGAUAAAAAUAUGUUAUAAACCUAAUAUGUGAUACAAUAUGCAGCAUGAUAUUAAUUUUGGGUGACACGAGCAAUGUCAGGAGCCUGUUUGAUUUUAAUCUUUUGACCUUAAGAGUCUCACUGAUACCACCAUGCAUAUGAGUAUUUUACAUCAGGCACUAAGGUUUAAAAACAUGACUUCUGGAAUCACCAUUUUCUACAUGUCAGUAAACAUAUACAUACAUACAUACAUACAUACAUACAUACAUACAUACAUACACACACAAACACACACACAUAUAUAUAAUAUAUAUUAUAUAUAUAUGUAUAUAUACUUUUGAAAAAAUCUAUAAUCCUACCUAUAUAUGUUCUCUCAAUUAUAGAGCCAUUCUAACUUCCAGUAUUUUCAGUUAAACCCAAAUUAAAAAUUUAAGGUCUAUUAUUAAUAGGGAAUAGAAAACAAGAAAUUUGUAUUCCUGCACCUUGGAUUCACCUCAUUCUAUAGUUUAUUCCUUUAAAAAUCCAUAUGACUCUAUGACUUUUUUAAAUGUUUGCUUUCAAGUGUCAUUUAUAUGCUACUUAGUAAUCUUCAAGCUAAAAAAUUCCUCCCAUUCUAUAAGCUACCAAUCUCUUGAGUUGUGAACUGGUAGCCAUAAUAUUUAUGCUAAGCACGUGUAAUGUCAAAGAAACAAAAACAGAAAACAUGAGACAAAGAAGUCCAAAGUUUCCAUUGAGAUUGUUUUGUGUUGGAUAGCUUCUAAUGAACAUGCAACUUUUCCACUAAAAGUGCUUUGUCAUCAGUGAAACUUUUUGGUGAAAAUUAAUGUUUCAUUUGCAAGCAAUUUAGCUCCUAGAGGUAGCUUUGGCAUUAAAGAGUGAUACAUGUUUCUAAUUUGACUUUCAGCUGUGGGGGCAUAACUGAUAAAGACACAUGUGUGCCGUGUGCAUGAUGCUACAUUUUCAUAUGUGACUUUCUUAUAUUGUACUUAGAUGGCCUUGAUCCUUGGUGUUUGAUCCACACCCUCUGGCCAUUAUAUCCUUCUCUCUUCUGAGAACUGAGGGGUAGGAUUUGAUAGAGACAUCCCCUUUAGCUAUGUACACUCCAGGAUGUUGUAUGGUCUUCAGCAAUUAGUAUCUUCAGGUCAAGUUUGGGAAUAACCACCUGUAGUCUUUGUGUAGUCCAAGUUGCUUGGGGAUUCCCAUUGGACUGCUUUUUACAACAAUUCAACUACAUGUACAAUAAUCCCAACUUCCUUUGAUCAUUAGAUUGCCAAUUGGGCCGUUUGCCUCCUUUUUUGGUGAUAUCAGAUAGAUUAUAUCCCUUUGCUUGGUCCCCACAUAUUCAUAACUGUCUAUUUUUCUUUCCAAUCUGUAUAUUGAAAUCUUUAUUUGGUCAUGGGAGAUGUCAGUUGGCCUAUAUUCUGUAUUGUAAUUUGGUGAUUUCUUUUAAGGUUUUGUUCAUAUAUGUUCUGUGAGGGAUUAUGCUAAAAUUUUGGUGGGGAUUAUGUUGAAUCUUCACAUUCAUUUUCCCAAAAUAGUAAUUUAAUCCUAAUGAUCCAUGGAUAUAAAUAUUUUCAUCUUUUGAUAACUUCUGCAAGUUUUUCACUUGCUUAGUUAUGGUUAUCUCAAUGUUUAUAGAGAUUUCUGUGUAAGGAACUGGUUUUUCUUUCUCAGUCCUUUUGCAAUUUGUUCAUAUAACUAUAUGUAUUAUUAUUUUUCCUGUUUCCAAAUAACCAUCAUAAAAAGAAUGGGAAGUGUUCCUUUUAUAUCUGUUUUAUGAAACAAUUUAAGGAAUAUUGCACUUAACUUGAUUUUGAAAUUCUGGUGAGAGAAUUUUAUCUGUCCUCUCUCACUGUUUUCUACCCUCUUUGUGUCUCUUUCUAGCUUUUUAUUUUUUACUGAAAAAAAAUAGAUACACACCUUCAGUCCCUAGAAGGAGAAGCAGGGUAUAUCUCUCUGUUCAAGUGUUUUUUGACAGUAAAUUCCACUAUAGACAGGCCUGCACAUUAUAAUAAAGUACGUUUCAUUUCUGAUUCUGCUAAUUUGGGUCCUCUUUUUCUUUUGGUUAGUCAUACUAAGGGGUUCACAAUCUUUUUUAGCUUCUUAAAGAACUAGAUCUUUGGCUUAUGUAUUCGUUUAUUAUUAUAAUCUUUAAUUUUGUUUUGAUUUCUGCCUUCAUUUUUAUUUGUAUACAAUGUGUUUUGAGUUAUUUCCUCAUAUAUUGCAACUUUAAUCACUUUAUCAUUAUUUUGAUCUUUUAGGUAUUCAUUCUUUAUUGGAUACUUUUUAAUUUACAUUUCAUAUGUUAUCCCCUUUCCACCAACCACCCAUCAACCCCUUUUUAAACUCCUGGCCCAGACAUUCGCCUACACUGGCAAUUCCAGCCUUGGUAGGACCAAGGGCUUCUUUUGGUGCAGAACAAGGCCAUUAUUCUGAUUUGUAGCCAAUUAGAACUACAAAUUUCCAACUUGGGCCUGUUUUCUGUUGUGUCCUAGAGGUUUCGUUGUUUUCAUUUCUAUUUUCAUUCCAGGGUUUUUUCCUUCCCUUCUUAAUUUCUAUUAACUGUUCACUAUUUAGUAAUGGAGUCAUUUCCUCAGAGAGUUAUUUGGUCUUCAUUAGUUGAAUAUCUGUUAAAGGUUUUUUUGUUGUCAAGUUUAAGUUUUAGUGCAGUUUGGUGAAUUAGAAUACAAAGAGC